CAUUUCUCUGUCUUCUUUCUCUUCUCUCUUUCUCUCCAUCUCUUUUUGCCCUAUCUGAUAGGGUUUCCAUCUCCUUGUAUCUCCGAUCUUUUUCAUGCAAUCGCGUCUUGAAUCUCUAUACGGUGGUUUGUUAGCGUUUAUUGUUGUUGGGUUUCUCUUUUUUUCUCUCUUUGGAGGGUUUCUCGGUGCUAGACGGUGCGGAUUUGACCUCCCGGGGUUUUUUGAGCUGUACCCAUGUCUAAGCUCUUUGGUUUCGCUGGAGAUGAUGAUUUUUGCCCUGG
rnacentral:misc_RNA from 1 species